rnacentral:rRNA from 1 species
CUAUGCGCCUUGCCAGCCCGCUCAGGUGUGCCAGCCGCCGCGGUAAUACGUAGGGAGCGAGCGUUGUCCGGAAUUACUGGGUGUAAAGGGAGCGUAGGCGGGGAUGCAAGUUGGGUGUCAAAACUACCGGCUCAACUGGUAGUCGCACUCAAAACUGCAGCUCUUGAGUGAAGUAGAGGCAGGCGGAAUUCCUAGUGUAGCGGUGAAAUGCGUAGAUAUUAGGAAGAACACCAGUGGCGAAGGCGAUUCUCUGGACUGUAACUGACGCUGAGGCUCGAAAGCGUGGGGAGCAAACAGG